GGCCUAUUAGUUCAGUUGGUUAGGCAUCGUGCUUAUAACGUGAAGGACGCAGGUUCGAAACCUGCAUAGGACA
rnacentral:tRNA from 1 species